GGGAAUAUUGCACAAUGGGGGAAACCCUGAUGCAGCGACGCCGCGUGAGCGAAGAAGUAUUUCGGUAUGUAAAGCUCUAUCAGCAGGGAAGAAAAUGACGGUACCUGACUAAGAAGCUCCGGCUAAAUACGUGCCAGCAGCCGCGGUAAUACGUAUGGAGCAAGCGUUAUCCGGAUUUACUGGGUGUAAAGGGAGCGUAGGCGGUAAGGCAAGUCUGAUGUGAAAGGCCAGGGCUCAACCCUGGGACUGCAUUGGAAACUGUUUAACUGGAGUGUCGGAGAGGCAAGUGGAAUUCCUAGUGUAGCGGUGAAAUGCGUAGAUAUUAGGAGGAACACCAGUGGCGAAGGCGGCUUGCUGGACGAUGACUGACGCUGAGGCUCGAAAGCGUGGGGAGCAAACAGGA
rnacentral:rRNA from 1 species